rnacentral:rRNA from 1 species
AUUGAACGCUGGCGGCAUGCCUUACACAUGCAAGUCGAACGGUAACAGGUCUUCGGAUGCUGACGAGUGGCGAACGGGUGAGUAAUACAUCGGAACGUGCCCGAGAGUGGGGGAUAACGAAGCGAAAGCUUUGCUAAUACCGCAUACGAUCUCAGGAUGAAAGCAGGGGGCCGCGAGGCCUUGCGCUCACGGAGCGGCCGAUGGCAGAUUAGGGAGUUGGUGGGAUAAAAGCUUACCCAGCCGACGAUCUGUAGCUGGUCUGAGAGGACGACCAGCCACACUGGGACUGAGAUACGGCCCAGACUCCUACGGGAGGCAGCAGUGGGGAAUUUUGGACAAUGGGCGCAAGCCUGAUCCAGCCAUGCCGCAUGCAGGAUGAAGGCCUUCGGGUUGUAAACUGCUUUUGGACGGAACGAAAAGACUCCUUCUAAUAAAGGGGGUCCAUGACGGUACCGUAAGAAUAAGCACCGGCUAACUACGUGCCAGCCGCCGCCGUAAAAC